GGCAGUCGUGGCCUAAAGGUUAGCGAGUCGGACUUGUAACCCGGAGGUCGUGGGUUCGAGUCUCGGGUCUGGCA